rnacentral:lncRNA from 1 species
CAGGAGAUUUUCCAUGUCUACUCUGGUGCCAUUACUGGAAGAUCCUUCCAUUUUCUACAAGGGAUUUUUACCUAUAUUGUUGAGAAGUGGAAUCCCCUUUGGUAGCUCUGUACCUUCAGCUUCUCCCUCUGUGGUAUCCAUUCCCUGCCACAACUAUAGAAUCUGCAAUCUGAUAUCUGAGAGUGACCAAAAGAAGAGAAUAAAUGUCCAGCCUCCUUGUCACAAGGCAGGACAACAUUAUGUUGUUCCUUAGGCUCCAGAGCUCCCAUGAAUCUUGCUGAGGGAAAAAAUGACAUAACCACUAAAAAGAAUGACUGCUAAAGAUCAGGACAAGACUUUGACCAGUGGAAGUCAGGAACAGCAAAUAAACAUUUUCCUCAUCUCUUCCCACCAUACUAACUGUCCUGAGAUGCAAAAGUCCAUAAGGUCUCUCCUAAGACUGUCCCACAAAAUGUAGCAAUUAGUUAUUCUUGCUGUCAAGCAGUGCUCAGCUCAUAUUAUACCUUAUAUUUUCUCUUCCUCAUUCUCUGUAUCACUCAUCUUUUCUGUCAUUUCUAGUUCCCUGUAUUUUA